UGUUCCAUUUUUGUGGCAGAUGCUGGCUUUUCCAGCAGCUGUGAUAUGAAAUUGAUUGGAUAGAAAUGUACAGAUCUGAAUGAAGUCAACAUGGGAAGGCAAGAAAUGUGACUUCAUGCAGGCGACUUUACAGUAAAUAUAUUGGGUUUCAGCUCACAGACGGAUGGCCUGACAUUCUCCUGUAGAAUUCUCUGAUACAGAGCAGAAUUUGUGGUUCCUUCUAUUAAGGCAAGUUGUCCAGAUCCUGAGGCAGCAAAGCAUUCUCAAACCAUGACACGACAACCACCAUGCUUGACCGGUUGUAUAAGGUUCUUACUGUGGAAUGCAGUGUUUUUUGUUUUUUUGCCAGGCAAAAUGGGACCCACUCAGACCUGCAGCAUCAGGUAGGUUCACAGCGCGAGCUGCACAGCCUCCUCAUCCUUUGGUUUGGCUUCUCUUCAAGGUUACCCACCACUUUGGCAUGCUAGGAAGGCCUAACAUUUCAACUCUUUAUAUUUCCCCUUUUUUCUUUUCAAUGUUUUAAUUGUAAUUUUCAAAGCUUUACAGGUUUAUUUCAAAUAGUUCAUCUCCCCCCCACCUUUUUCAACCCUUUAAAAAAAAUGAAAAAUAGGUGGAAGAUGAAAAGGUGUAUUUAGCUACUGUAAAUGCUAUAUAGCACAAUCACAUGGCUACAUCACAAUUACAGCUGAUGCCAGUUCAGGAUAUUAAACCCAAUGAUCCGUUCAUUUGAGUGAUAGGCUACCCAUUCCAGUACUGUAUGUAUUCACGUCUGACACUGCACCAUUGUCCUUGCUUUAAAAAUAACACUUUAAAAAAAUAAAAUCUGGUUCUUUACCCACAGCACUGUCUUUAUCAGUCUCAUAUUGCUGUAUAACAGGAGGGGCCGGAGGAAGGAGAGUUACACUGAAACCUGCAGAGGUCCAGAAGAACCACAUCCAAACAUGAAAGUCUUUGCUUUUGGUCUCCUGCUCCUGGUGGCCGUCAUCUAUGGUGAGGCCCUGCAGUGCCAUAACUGUAUCGGGGCCACGCCAGGCAGUGGUGAUUGUGUGGAGACCUGUCCUCCUGAGCUGGACACCUUCCCCUUAUGAGAACACCUUCCAGAAGUCCUGCUUCAAGAUGAUGGAGUGCCUGAAGCUUGGUGUGACCGAGGGUCUGAGAGUCACCUGCUGCAACUGGGACAACUGCAACGUAUAAGACCCAUGGCCCAUACUCACCUUCUGUAUCAUUGGUAUGAGUGUGGCUGGAGCCCAGUUCAAAUGGCAAUGGAAUACAUUCAGUAUAUGAAAAUGGCAUUUGUUAUCUUUUGUUCCUGAUUUCAUAUGUCUCGAAAUGUCAUAAGAAGAACUUGUUUACAUGUGAUACGAAUGAUUCAUCACCCAACACCACCUCUUACAUAAACUAUGCACACCAGUCAGUUUUGUUGAGCUUUGAUAUUUCUAAAGGUUCUUUACACCCUGUCCCAAUAUGGAAUGUCCCAGUGUGGAACAUGACACUUGAAAUCCGGGAAUUUCCAUUCCUUUACAGAGAGACAUAGGGUACUACUUGUGCUAAACCUGAGUAAAUAGAUUGCCCAAUAUCUCACACAAGUGACUCAUAGAUAACAGCUUUAUUAGCAUACUAUGCUGUAUAAAAGGAGAAGAAGAAGGAGAGGAGAGUAAAGGAAGCUCAAUACACCUAAAGGAAAUACAAUCAGGUGAGCAACUACUCUACUAUCUACAGCACCUAAUAACUUUGUCUCAUGAUACUGUGCUCAAAUAAACCAGGGUAGCCUAGUGGUUAGAGCGUUGGACUAGUAACCGAAUGGUUGCAUGUUCAAAUCCCUGAGCUGACAAGGUACAAAUCUGUUGUUCUGCCCCUGAACAGGCAGUUAUCCCACUGUUCCUAGGCUGUCAUUGAAAAUAAGAAUUUGUUCUUAACUGACUUGCCUAGUAAAAUAAAGGUAAAAAAUAAAAUAAAUGUAGCAAUUGUUGAACAUCCCACUGCAGAGAGGGAGUCUUUGGUUAUGCCUUUUUUCUAUUGUCGGAACGACAGUUCAACAGACUCCUGAAGAAAGACAAAGGAAAGAUGAAAGCUAUAUGUUUUUCUCUCCUUCUCCUGCUGCUGGCAUGUAGCUUUGGUGAGUCUGCCCAUCAAAGUUUGACAGGGACAAUGCCAAAUAAACACAUUCAUCUGUACCAGAUUAAAGCUUGCUUGCUUAUUCUUAUCUCCAUUCUUUAAUCUCCAGUCUCCCAGUUUACACAAUGGAUAACCAGACUCCCUCUAAUACAACAGAGGUCAUGUUGUUAUUCUGUUUUCUCCAGGAGAGGGCCUGAAAUGCAACCGUUGUGUUGGCAAAGGCUGCAGGAACACAGUGGAGACCUGCCGUAUUGACCAUAACACAUGCGGCACGGUCUUAUUCAAGCCCCCACUCCCUAUCUCGUACUUCAAGAGAUGCAUGAAGAUGUCAGAAU